CUUAUGUGGCUGACAUAUUUCACUUAGCACAAUGUCCUCAACGUUCGCCCAUGCGGUAGCAUAUAUCAGGAUUUCCUUCCUUUUAGGCUGCAGAGAAUUAUGAUCGCGCCACUGCACCCCAGCUUGGGUGACAGAGUGAGAACCUGUCUCUUAAUUAAAAAAAAAAAAAAAAAGAGUCCAGGCAUGGUGGUUCACUUCUGUUAAUUCUACCACUUCGGAAGGCCAAGGUAGGAGGAUCCCUUGAGUCCAAGAGUUUGAGACCAGCCUGGGCAACAUGCUGAAACCCCAUCUCUACAAAGCCCACAAAAAUUAGCUGGGUGUGGUGGCACACUUGUGGUCUCAGCUAUUUAGGAGACUGAGGUGGGAGAAUAACUUGAGCCUGGGAGGCUGAGGCUGCAGUGAGCCAAGAUCACACCACUGCACUCUAUCCUGGGUGACAGAAUAAGACCUUGUCUAAAAAAACAAAAGAAUUUCCUUCCUUUUUAAGUCUGAAUAAUAUUCCACUGUAUGUAUAGAUCACAUUUUGCUUACCCAUUCACCUGUCAAUGGACAUUUGGAUUGUGUCUAUGUUCUAGCUAUUGUAUAUACUGCUUUUUAACUUAAUCUAUUAUGAACAUCUUUUCAGAUGAAUAAUUAAAUUUUCCCAAUGCCUUUUUUAGUGGCUGCUUUAUAGUACAUUACCUGACUGUUCCACAAUGUAGUUGACUAUUCCUUGAGGGUUGGAAAUUUAGUUUGUUUCUGAUUUUUUGCUCUAAUAUACACGGCUGGAAUAAAUCCCCUACGAACAACAUCUUUGCAUGCCUGGCUGAUUAUGACUUUCAGACAAAAGAAUGUGCACAGGUUUCGGCCUCCGGCACCCAUUGCUGGGCCCUUGUUACAAGCAGCCUGUGCAUCUGAGGAGGCCUAAGCCUGAGCUGCCGCACACAUCCCCAUCCCUGAAGACCAGAGAGCACCAUGAUGCCAGGGGUCCCUGCGCCUCCUGGAAGUGAAGAAUGUUGCUGCAGCUCCAAGCUCGUAGGGUGGUACUAGGUAUCAGGAACUUGUAGCCAUCUGGCGGUCUGCCGGUAGCCUGUAGGACUGCUUACAGACUGGGACCAUAGGCUCCCCUGGUCCUUAGGCCUUCAGACUUGGACUGAACGACACCACUGACUUUCCCAGGUCUCCAGCUUGCAGAUGGCAGGAAGAGGUUCUUCCCAGCCUCCACAGUCAUGCCUGCCCAGCUGCUUUAGUGAUUCCGGGUCAGAGUCUUGCAAUCAGAAGCAACUCCCACCCUCAGCCCUCAAAAUGGGCCAUCUCAAAUCUUACUAGCCAAUGGCACUCCAAGGAGAGGGAGGAGCAGUGUCCCUGUCAGGAAUUACACAGAUAUUGUUUGCUCUGCAGACCUGAGCUGCCUCUUAAGGGUGCUGAUUACACAGCCUUCUUCAUCUCAGCCUAUGUCCAGAUGGAUCACAGAAUCCUCACCACAAGGGAGCUGGCCAGCCUGACCUGGAAGGACCAUCCAGAAACUCAACCAAGGCACCACAGACUGCUGGGGAAAGGUUCUUGCUGUUUUAAAUAACAUGUCCAGGCCGGGCACAAUGGCUCACGCCAGUAAUCCCAGCACUUUGGGAGGCCGAGGAAGGCGGAUCACCCGAGCUCAAGAGUUCAAGACCAGCCUGGCCAACAUGGUAAAUCCUGUCUCUACUAAAAAUACAAAAAAAAAAAAAAAAAUUAGCUGGGUUGGUGGCACACACCUGUAGUCCCAGCUACUCGGGAGGCUGAGGCAUGAGAAUCACUUGAACCUGGGUGGCAGAGGUUGCAGUGAGCCGAGAUCACACCACUGCACUCCAGCCUGGGUGACAGACCAAGACUCCGUCUUAAUAAAAAAUAAAUAAAUAAAUAACAAGUCCAUCAUCAGUUAGGCCCUGACCAAAUGGGCUAGGGGACAUGAGGACAGAUGGGGACGGGGAAAAAAAGGAGCAGAUACCUUAGCUCAGGUCCUCAUCCCCAGCUGGGUUCCCUUCUCCUCCAAGGAAUCCUUUCCAGGAGUGGAGAAAGAGGCAUCUCAGUCAGACAGCCAGGGUCCCUGGAGGCCAGACUUUUUCAUCCCCUUUCACAUGUGAAGAGGCUGAAUAAUCAUCUUAUCCCCCUGUAUUAGCUCAUUCUCACAUUGCUAUAAAGAACUACCUGAGACUGGGUAAUUUAUAAAGAAAAGAGAUAGAGCCAGGCAUGGUGGCUCAUGCCUGUAAUCAAAGCACUUUGGGAGGAUGAGGUGGGCAGAUCACCUGAGGUCAGGAGUUCGAGACCAGCCUGGCCAACAUGGUGAAACCCAGUCUCUACUAAAAAUACAAGAAUUAGCCAGAUGUGGUGGCCUGCGCCUGCAAUCCCAGCUACUCAGAAGGCUUAGGCAGGAGAAUCACUUGAACCUGGGAGGCAGAGGUUGCAGUGAGCCAAGAUCCCACCACUGCACUCCAGCCUGGGCAAGACAGUGAGACCAUAUCAAAAAAAAAAAAAAAAAAAAGAAAAAAAAGAAAAAGAAAAAGAAAAAGAAAAAAAGAAAGAAGAAAAGAAAAGAAAGGAAAGGAAAAAAGAAAAGAAAAGAGGUUUAAUUGACUCAUGGUUCCACAGGCUGUACAGGAAGCAUGGCUGGGGAGGCCUCAGGAAACUUACAAUCACGGCAGAAGAUGAAGGGGAAGCAGGCAUGUCUUACAUGGCUGGAGGAGGAAGGAGAGAGAGUGAAGGAGGAGGUGCUACACACUUUAAACAACCAGAUCUCAUGAGAACUCACUCACUAUCAAGAGAACAGCAAGGGGGAAAUCUGCCCCCAUGAUCCAAACCGUGUCACCUGCCUGUAUUAUCUCUGUGUGUGUGUGUGUGUGUGUGUGUGUGUGUGUGUGUGUGUGUGUGUGUGUGUGUGUGAUGGGGUCUCACUCUGUCACCCAGGCUAGAGGAGCAUGAUCAUAGCUCACUCACUGCAGCCUCAAAUUUGAGGGAUCCUCCUGGGCUCAAGCUAUCCUCCUGCCUUAGCC
rnacentral:lncRNA from 10 species